AGACAUGAUGUUCUUAUCUACCCAACAACUGAUACAUGCUCUUGGGGCUGAGAAGAUGGCUUCUCAGAGAGCUUGCUGCUAUUGCAUGAGGACCUAGCUCAGAUCCCUAGAAGCCAUAUAAAAGCCAGCAUGUGUCUGUAUCUCCAAUCCCAAGAGGAGAGAUCAAGAGAGAUUUCUGGCCAGAGGAAGACACCGCUGGCAUCUAUAUGUGCACUCACAGGUGAGUGGUACACCCCAUAAACAAGUGCACAGCACACACAAGAAUAACUGAAAGAAUAGAUACUCUGCACACGGCCCUUCCUUUUCUGGCUGUAAGGACAUCGUUGUGGGGGGUGUAUAAGCCUUCACUGCAGAGAACAGGCUGGAGGGAGGAAAGGCGCCUACACCUCAGGCCUCCUCUGACCCACACUGGGUCUGUGGGUCUGUGAGACAGGUGCCCUGGUAUCCAUACCCCCAGCUGCAGGAAGAAUUCUGGGCUAGGCUGUGACAAGUGGUGACAUUACAGGCCUGAGGUCAUAUUAAUCUGUGCAGUUGAACUUGUUGCUCAUUUGAUGAACAGGCAUGAAUGAGUCCAGUCUUUGAAGAACUGGGAAGAUGGCUUUAGGAUGUGUCCAUUAAGUAUCUGAAACACAGAAACACCCGAGAGCUGCCCCUUCCCUUCCCAGAGAUCCAUGAAGAGCUGAACCUAGAAUACUGAUGCCACUGUUUGUCCCCUAAGAUCGAUUAGCAUCUGGAUGGACAGGAACCGCUACCCUGGAACUCAGAGAUCUGCUUGCCUGGGAUUAAACACAUGAACCACCCUGCCUGGGACGAAGCUUUGCAUGGCCACUAUUCCUCAAGAUCCUCAUCAAAAGCCUGUGUCUUCCAGCCUCGAGAUCUGGAUCCAUAGUUGUGCCCUCCAUUUCUGGAUUUUAGUUCAUUCCAGAUUAAAAGUCCAAAUGAAAACAAUAACCAGGUAAUAGUAACACCUAUGUAUAACCCUACCCAAGGACAUUUGACUGGGGUGGAGAUGAGAGCAGAGCGAGUGGGAUCUCUGUAAGAGAAACUGUGUCCCUGCAAUCCACACUAAAGUCAGAGCAGUGGAACUCAUGCUUCCCCAGCCCUCAUCCCACAACCAGUCCUGAUCCCAUCUGGCCACAGAACUCUUCAAAUGUCCCCAAGAAAGCCCAGAGAAGCCACAGUCUGAACUUUGUGUGUUCACUCUGCUAUCUUAUCUGUGUCACUUAGCACCUUCUAGAAAAUAAGGGUCUGUUGGGGCUUGGGGUUUGUGUACAACGAUGAGUUGUCAUGAAUGUUGUUUAUAGGAACAUGGGCAGCUUGCCAGUGAAGAAAACGUCCCUUCUUCUCACAACAACCAUUAACUUCUGA
rnacentral:lncRNA from 1 species